rnacentral:rRNA from 1 species
AUACGUAGGGGGCGAGCGUUGUCCGGAAUGAUUGGGCGUAAAGGGCGCGUAGGCGGCCCGGUAAGUCUGGAGUGAAAGUCCUGUUUUUAAGAUGGGAAUUGCUUUGGAUACUGUCGGGCUUGAGUGCAGGAGAGGUAAGUGGAAUUCCCAGUGUAGCGGUGAAAUGCGUAGAGAUUGGGAGGAACACCAGUGGCGAAGGCGACUUACUGGACUGUAACUGACGCUGAGGCGCGAAAGUGUGGGGAGCAAACAGGAUUAGAUACCCUGGUAGUCCACACUGUAAACGAUGAAUGCUAGGUGUAGGGGGUAUCGACCCCUUCUGUGCCGCAGUCAACACAAUAAGCAUUCCGCCUGGGGAGUACGGCCGCGAGGUUGAAACUCAAAGGAAUUGACGGGG